AGAAGGAGGCUGCCGUAGGUGUAGCUGGAGGAGGCUGCCGUAGCUGGAGGAGGCUGCCGUAGCUGGAGGAGGCUGCCGAAGGUGGAGGAGGCCGUGGCUGGAGGAGGCUGGAGGCUGCCGAAGGUGGAGGAGGCUGGAGGAGGCCGUGGCUGGAGGAGGCUGGAGGCUGCCGAAGGUGGAGGAGGCUGCCGUGGCUGCCGAAGGUGGAGGAGGCUGCCGAAGGUGGAGAAGGCUGCUGAAGGAAGAGGCUUCUGUAGGUGGAGGAGGCUGCUGAAGGUGUAGGCAGAGACUUCUUCGCUUGGCUUUUGCUGCCCAGCUGUGUCAUAUUCACUCAUCAUUGACUGAUGACCCCUGAACAGAUUUCCGGCCCUUCUUCAUACACCUUGUCUUCCACCUUCACAGUCAUGGCACAACACUCAGGAGUGCUGUGAGUUGCAUGACACCUGCAGAGGCUCCAUACUACAGACUACUUCUACUCUGUACUACAGAAACCGGAUCACUUGACAAGCCUGUGUCCUGUUUUGGCCUUCCACACUCUGUAGGAUUGCAUAGGCUCCAUUUCUUCUCCCACAUCACCAUUCCAAAACAACUCCAGAUGUUUCGUUUGUAUUAUGGCCAGUUUCUUUACAUCUGUUACACUACCUGUGUUUUGCACCCAAAACUGGACUGCUCUAUCUGUUUCUUGUUUUUUAUCAUUAUCACUUGCAUUGCUGUAAAUAUGUUCCAUUAGCUCAGUUUUGCAACUAUGAAGUGUACAGUUUUGUUGUUGUAUUACUGUUACGCUGAGCAAAAAGAAACCUCAAACCUUA